GAUGAACGCUGGCGGCGUGCCUAAUACAUGCAAGUCGAGCGAACGGACGAGAAGCUUGCUUCUCUGAUGUUAGCGGCGGUCGGGUGAGUAACACGUGGAUAACCUACCUAUAAGACUGGGAUAACUUCGGGAAACCGGAGCUAAUACCGGAUGAUAUUUUGAACCGCAUGGUUCAAAAGUGAAAGACGGUCUUGCUGUCACUUAUAGAUGGAUCCGCGCUGCAUUAGCUAGUUGGUAAGGUAACGGCUUACCAAGGCAACGAUGCAUAGCCGACCUGAGAGGGUGAUCGGCCACACUGGAACUGAGACACGGUCCAGACUCCUGCGGGAGGCAGCAGUAGGGAAUCUUCCGCAAUGGGCGAAAGCCUGACGGAGCAACGCCGCGUGAGUGAUGAAGGUCUUCGGAUCGUAAAACUCUGUUAUUAGGGAAGAACAUAUGUGUAAGUAACUGUGCACAUCUUGACGGUACCUAAUCAGAAAGCCACGGCUAACUACGUG
rnacentral:rRNA from 1 species